rnacentral:rRNA from 1 species
AAUCAACGCUGGCGGCGUGCCUCAGACAUGCAAGUCGAACGAUUAAACUUCCCUUCGGGGAAGAUAUAAAGUGGCGCACGGGUGAGUAACACGUAGGUAAUGUACCUUUGGGUGGGGAAUAACUUAGGGAAACUUAAGCUAAUACCGCAUAAUGCAGCGGCUCCUUCGGGCGACCGUCGUUAAAGAUUUAUCGCCUAAAGAGCAGCCUGCGGCAGAUUAGCUAGUUGGUAAGGUAACGGCUUACCAAGGCUACGAUCUGUAUCCGAGCUGAGAGGGUGGUCAGACACACUGACACUGAGUAACGGGUCAGACUCCUACGGGAGGCAGCAGUCGGGAAUUUUGGGCAAUGGGCGAAAGCCUGACCCAGCAACGCCGCGUGAAGGAUGAAGUCUUUCGGGAUGUAAACUUCGUAAGAAUAGGAAGAAUAAAUGACGGUACUAUUUGUAAGGUCCGGCUAACUACGUG